UCCCUGGUAGUAUAUCGGUUAGUACACGCGCCUGUCAGUGGUGUUAAACACGCGAGAACGCGCGAAAGCGGGGUUCGACUCCCCGCCAGGGAG